rnacentral:rRNA from 1 species
AAUCAUGCAUGUCUAGUAUAAGCAAUUUAUACAGUGAAACUGCGAAUGGCUCAUUAAAUCAGUUAUCGUUUAUUUGAUAGUUCCUUUACUACAUGGUAUAACUGUGGUAAUUCUAGAGCUAAUACAUGCUUAAAAUCUCGACCUUUGGAAGAGAUGUAUUUAUUAGAUAAAAAAUCAAUGUCUUCGGACUCUUUGAUGAUUCAUAAUAACUUUUCGAAUCGCAUGGCCUUGUGCUGGCGAUGGUUCAUUCAAAUUUCUGCCCUAUCAACUUUCGAUGGUAGGAUAGUGGCCUACCAUGGUUUCAACGGGUAACGGGGAAUAAGGGUUCGAUUCCGGAGAGGGAGCCUGAGAAACGGCUACCACAUCCAAGGAAGGCAGCAGGCGCGCAAAUUACCCAAUCCUAAUACAGGGAGGUAGUGACAAUAAAUAACGAUACAGGGCCCAUUCGGGUCUUGUAAUUGGAAUGAGUACAAUGUAAAUACCUUAACGAGGAACAAUUGGAGGGCAAGUCUGGUGCCAGCAGCCGCGGUAAUUCCAGCUCCAAUAGCGUAUAUUAAAGUUGUUGCAGUUAAAAAGCUCGUAGUUGAACUUUGGGCCUGGUUGGCCGGUCCGAUUUUUUCGUGUACUGGUUUCCAACCGGGCCUUUCCUUCUGGCUAACCUUGGGUCCUUGUGGCCCUUGGCGAACCAGGACUUUUACUUUGAAAAAAUUAGAGUGUUCAAAGCAGGCGUAUUGCUCGAAUAUAUUAGCAUGGAAUAAUAGAAUAGGACGUUUGGUUCUAUUUUGUUGGUUUCUAGGACCAUCGUAAUGAUUAAUAGGGACGGUCGGGGGCAUCAGUAUUCAAUUGUCAGAGGUGAAAUUCUUGGAUUUAUUGAAGACUAACUACUGCGAAAGCAUUUGCCAAGGACGUUUUCAUUAAUCAAGAACGAAAGUUAGGGGAUCGAAGAUGAUCAGAUACCGUCGUAAUCUUAACCAUAAACUAUGCCGACUAGGGAUCGGGUGGGGGUUUUUUUACUGACCCCCUCGGCACUUUACAAGAAAUCAAAGUCUUUGGGUUCUGGGGGGAAUUUUGGUCCCAAGGGUGAAACUUUAAGGAAUUUA